CUAAAGGGGUGGACCUGCGAUGCAUUAGCUAGUUGGUAAGGUAACGGGCUUACCAAGGCGAUGAUGCAUAGCCCGAGUUGAGAGACUGAUCGGCCACGUUGGGGACUGAGACACGGCCCAAACUCCUACGGGAGGCAGCAGUAGGGAAUCUUCCACAAUGGACGAAAGUCUGAUGGAGCAAACGCCGCGUGAGUGAAGAAGGUUUUCGGAUCGUAAAGCUCUGUUGUUGGUGAAGAAGGAUAGAGGUAGUAACUGGCCCUCUAUUUGACGGUAAUCAACCAGAAAGUCACGGGCUAACUACGUGCCAGCAGCCGCGGUAAAU
rnacentral:rRNA from 1 species